AGGGCCUCGCUGUCUUUCUGCAGAACACUUUUAACAUGUUAAAGAGAAUUAAUAGUUGUGCAUGUUCAUGUAAUCAUGCAUGUGAACACGUGCUGCAUGAACGUGAGUUUGUAUCUGGGUGAAAACGUGGUUUCACGCUAGCAGCUCGUGCUUAACGGGCCUUAAGCAACCACGUGGACUGAAAGAUGGCGGAAAAACUGAGUGGUCUUCAGGUUGUGAAGUCACUGCUGAAGUCAAACAAAUGUCAUAUCGGAGUCAUCCUUUGGUGAAGCUGAGUUUAAACCAACGAUGGACAAUCCAGAGUGAACAG